AUUGACCUCGGAUCAGGUAGGGAUACCCGCUGANCUAAGG
rnacentral:rRNA from 1 species